CCAUCUAGUUGAGACUUAUGAUAGAGGGACUGAAUCAUACGCUAACUACAUCUUGAGGUUCAUUUUUUAUUCUACUAGAUUACCACUACAUACUACUAGGUAUCACUGGUAGAUUGUGAGAACUCACUAGGAUUGUUCUAGAUCGACAAUCCUUGAUGAGUUAGAGUGAAAUUAUUCUAAUUCACUGAAAAAAAUUUCAAUGAUACUUUGAUAGAGA
rnacentral:lncRNA from 1 species